GUUAUCACGGGAGACACACGGCGGGUGCUAACGUCCGUCGUGAAGAGGGAAACAACCCAGACCGCCAGCUAAGGUCCCAAAGUCAUGGUUAAGUGGGAAACGAUGUGGGAAGGCCCAGACAGCCAGGAUGUUGGCUUAGAAGCAGCCAUCAUUUAAAGAAAGCGUAAUAGCUCACUGGUCGAGUCGGCCUGCGCGGAAGAUGUAACGGGGCUAAACCAUGCACCGAAGCUGCGGCAGCGAACGUAUCACUUAAAGCGAUUCAGCGGGUUACGAUUGACGGAGCGAAGCGACGUCAAAGCGUAUACAAAGUCGAGUCGGUUUAAGGAUACGUUCGUUGGGUAGGGGAGCGUUCUGUAAGCCUGUGAAGGUGGCCUGUGAGGGUUGCUGGAGGUAUCAGAAGUGCGAAUGCUGACAUAAGUAACGAUAAAGCGGGUGAAAAGCCCGCUCGCCGGAAGACCAAGGGUUCCUGUCCAACGUUAAUCGGGGCAGGGUGAGUCGACCCCUAAGGCGAGGCCGAA
rnacentral:rRNA from 1 species